GAGGAUGUCACAGUCAAAUCUCAUGCUUAGUGGAUUCAUCACCAUGUGUGGGGGCAGAAACUACUUCCACUCUUAUCUUCCAUACUGCAUAACUGCUAGAUAGACAACUUCUGCCUCACACUUAAGGCCCCAAAGGAACAAGAAUAAAAGCAAUACUUAGAUUAUCAGGAACUACAAUGCCAAUGAUGGAAUGACAACCAUCAUUGCUGUCAACAACAUGUCAACAACAUCAUGUUGUCAACAUGUCAACAACAUCAACAAAUAGAAAGCAUUCCUCCAUUCAUCACUCCUUCUGGGAAGAAGUAGACUAAGAGGUAAGAAGCAACUAAUUUUUCAUGGGAUUUGAAACUAAGUAGGUGAAUCUGAAGUCUGCGCUGCUUCCAUUCCAUCCCAUUGUCUCUUCUGAGGGAGAAAGCUUCUAAGGGAGAAAGCCCUUGGGGCUUGCUGGUGAUCUUUUUCUACACAAAAAGUUUUCAAACAAAAGGAACAAAAGAAGCCAGAGUCUUUAGAGUACACACUCCAUACUUCCAUUAAAUAAAUUUCAACAACAGGUCAAAGCAUGUAUCUUGCAACCUUCUUUGAAUAAGGCUCAGUGCAAAGCUGGGGCCAGUGGCCUUGACCUUCCUUCAUCCUUAUCUAUCAAGGAUUUUUUGUGAGCAUAAGAGGCAGCAUCUUUACUUGUAUUUCAUUUCAUAGCUUAAUUAUAUCUACAUGCAAUUAGAAAACAUAUGGUAAGGCAUAUUUGUGAAGGUCACAAAAUCUAGUAGAGCUGGAAUGCCAGGAUUUGAUUCCAACUUCUGCCACUUACUAACUGCGGAACCUUAGGCAAGUCACUGAACCUCUAAGUUUCCUCAGCUGUAAAACAAUAACAAACACAGUCUGGUCACAGAUUUCUAUGAGAAUUAAAUUAGUUAACAAAAUAAAGCACUAAGAACUGUGCCUGGUACAUAAAAUAUACUGCAUGAGGGUUAGCUAUCACCACAAUAAGUAGGGAAGUUACCAACACCUUAAACGCUGAGUUAGAACAAAUCUAAAAACUCUAUGCUGGCCGGGUGCGAUGGCUCACGCCUGUAAUCCCAGCACUUUGGGAGGCCAAGGUGGGCAGAUCACCUGAGGUCACGAGUUCUAGACCAGCCUGGCCAACAUGGUGCAACCCCAUCUCUACUAAAAAUACAAAAAUUAGCAGGGUGUGGUGGUGGGCGCCCGUAAUCCCAGUUACUCAGGAAGCAGAGGCAGAAGAAUCGCUUGAGCCCAGAAGGCAGAGGUUGCAGUGAGCUGAGAUCACGCUACUGCACUCCAGCCUGGGCAACAGACAGAGCAAAACUCCAUCUCAAAAAUAAAUUAACAAACAAACAAAAACUGUAUAUUUAAGACCUACCUUUACUUAUUGAAGGAGGCCACUUCAAAAUGGUAAUGCUCCUGUCCUGUCUAGGUUCCCCAUACUUAGGGUACCCCAGACCUACCAAACCACACAGUGCCAGGCCUCUUUGUCUCCUAUAAUCUAUUCCUCCUUAAAAACCCAGCUAGAGAUUUUCUCUUCUACCCUACCAAGUAAAGAAUGUGCCCGCUUUCCUUUGCAUGCCUAUCUCUUAGAAUAUUAAUCCCAUAAAUUAUAAUUUCCCCAAAGAGACACUGAUCUUCAAGGGUAUGACUAUGUUUUUCUUAUUACUUAAUACCUAGAACUGUAUUUUGCACAUAUUAGAAACUUGACAAAAUUAAGAAACCCAAAGGACAUUCAAAUUCUUUCUCCCAAUUUAAAAAUUAUGGGUACAGGGACAAGAGUGGAGUUGGAAAACGUCAGUCACCCUAAUAAACAAGGCACAUUUAAUAAACAGGAUACACAUCUCUAUUUUCUUCCCCAUCCCCAGAUAACUGUUUUUGAGUGAAGAACCAAAAAAAAAAAAAAAAACCUAAUAAAUGCACAAGUUUAUAAUUUGAGAAACUAGCGUGACAAAAAUGAGGUCGUCCCAUGGAUGUCAUAAAAUAAGCAUGACUUUCUUCUCUCAAUUCUUUUACUUAUUGCCCAUAUAAUUAAAUACAGUUG